CCUAUGGGAGGCAGCAGUGGGGAAUAUUGCACAAUGGGGGAAACCCUGAUGCAGCGACGCCGCGUGAGCGAUGAAGUAUUUCGGUAUGUAAAGCUCUAUCAGCAGGGAAGAAAAUGACGGUACCUGACUACGAAGCCUCGGCUAACUACGUGCCAGCAGCCGCGGUACUACGUCGGGGGCAAGCGUUAUCCGGAUUUACUGGGGGUAAAGGGAGCGUAGACGGCGGUGCAAGCCAGAUGUGAAAGCCCUGGGCUCAACCCCGGGACUGCAUUUGGAACUGUGCGGCUAGAGUGUGAGAGAGGCAGGCGGAAUUCCUGGUGUAGCGGUGAAAUGCGUAGAGAUUGGGAGGAACACCAGUGGCGAAGGCAGCCUGCUGGACGAUGACUGACGUUGAGGCUCGAAAGCGUGGGGAGCAAACAGGAUUAGAUACCCUAGUAGUC
rnacentral:rRNA from 1 species